UACGUAGGGGGCAAGCGUUGUCCGGAUUUAUUGGGCGUAAAGAGCGUGUAGGCGGUUAGGUAGGUCCGUUGUGAAAACUUGAGGCUCAACCUCGAGACGCCGAUGGAAACCAUCUAACUAGAGUCCGGAAGAGGAGAAUGGAAUUCCUGGUGUAGCGGUGAAAUGCGCAGAUAUCAGGAAGAACACCCGUGGCUGAGGCGGUUCUCUAGUACGGUACUGACGCUGAGACGCGAAAGCGUGGGGAGCGAACAGG
rnacentral:rRNA from 1 species